AGUGAACGCUGGCGGUAGGCCUAACACAUGCAAGUCGAACGGCAGCACAGUAAGAGCUUGCUCUUACGGGUGGCGAGUGGCGGACGGGUGAGGAAUACAUCGGAAUCUACUUUUUCGUGGGGGAUAACGUAGGGAAACUUACGCUAAUACCGCAUACGACCUACGGGUGAAAGCAGGGGAUCUUCGGACCUUGCGCGAUUGAAUGAGCCGAUGUCGGAUUAGCUAGUUGGCGGGGUAAAGGCCCACCAAGGCGACGAUCCGUAGCUGGUCUGAGAGGAUGAUCAGCCACACUGGAACUGAGACACGGUCCAGACUCCUACGGGAGGCAGCAGUGGGGAAUAUUGGACAAUGGGCGCAGGCCUGAUCCAGCCAUACCGCGUGGGUGAAGAAGGCCUUCGGGUUGUAAAGCCCCUUUGUUGGGAAAGAAAAGCAGCAGGUUAAUACCCCGCUGUUCUGACGGUACCCAAAGAAUAAGCACCGGCUAACUUCGUG
rnacentral:rRNA from 1 species